rnacentral:lncRNA from 1 species
AAUUAUGCAAUCGUAGUACAGGUAAGUAGGGAUCAUUCUAUUCCGGUGAUUAGGAGGGAUGCUAAUCAACACAAAUUAAACUUAUUAAACUGAAAACUCGGUUAAGGGAACAAUGAUUGGGGGGAAUUUGGACGAUUUGGACUAAAGUAAUAUGACAGCAGCAAACAACUAAGUUGUGAAUGAAAUAUGGAUGAAGGGAUAGCUAG